GCUGGGCAUGGUGGCGCAUGCCUGUAAUCCCAGCUACUCAGGAGGCUGGGGUGGGAGAAUUGCUUGAACCCGGGAGGCAGAGGUUGCAGUGAGCUGAGAUCCUGCCACUGUACUACAGCCUGGGCGACAGAGCAAGACUUCAUCUCAA
rnacentral:SRP_RNA from 1 species